rnacentral:rRNA from 1 species
AUACGGAGGGAGCGAGCGUUAAUCGGAAUUACUGGGCGUAAAGCGCGCGUAGGCGGCUUUGUAAGUCGGAUGUGAAAGCCCUGGGCUUAACCUGGGAAUGGCAUUCGAUACUGCAGAGCUAGAGUAUGGUAGAGGGAAGUGGAAUUUCCGGUGUAGCGGUGAAAUGCGUAGAUAUCGGAAGGAACACCAGUGGCGAAGGCGACUUCCUGGGCCAAUACUGACGCUGAGGUGCGAAAGCGUGGGGAGCAAACAGGAUUAGAUACCCCGGUAGUCC